UGGAAGGGUCAGAGGUUGGAUGGAGAGUUUUAAUUUCAAGCUAACUGGAUGGUUUUUCAGUUGUAAGUGUGGUUGGUAGAGAUCCCAGGUGGGAUUCAAAAGGAUGUAAUAGGGGAGAAGCAGGCUGUAGCAUCAAAGGUCAGGUCUCUGCUUCCCACAGCUGCUGUAGCUGUAUCUGCACUGGAGACUGCUGUGCUCUUGCUGCUGUUACUAUUGAGGACUAACGUGUGACGGAGAUGUACCCCAAACUGUCAUCCUAGGUGUCUGAGCCCAGCUGUAAAUUUGCAGGUAGCUGAACUUCUUGCAGGAGGAUACUGUGGAAGAUAGGUAUGUCUGGAUGAUCAGAGAGGAACAAAUCAUGAGUUUCUAGUGUCUGGAAUCCCUGUUUAUCUCUCAGAGACACUGUAAGCAUGAGAAAAUCUUGGUGAGUGAAAUUUUGAGCAGCUCAGACCUUGAUUACAGAUGGCAGAAGUGACAUUCUCUGCUGCCAUUGCCGGAAUGCACACCCUGUUAUCAGCAUGGUGCAAUGGGAGGUGAGCAGCAACUGCAGUUGAGGGGGAAGAUUCAUUUCUAACUUGCAGAUACGCACCGGGAACGCAGUUAUAAUUCUGUGUGGUUGGCUUCAUAGACUAGAGCUGCAGUGGUGGUAGCAAUCUUUGCUUCUGAGUCUUUGUACGAACUUUCUUCAGCCAUUAUCUAUUGGCUGAAGAAUAUAUAUAUAUUAACAUUAAUAUAUAACAAGAUGCUUCAAGUUGCUGCUUUCCUCUCUCCAGUCCCAGAUUGCAAGCUAUUUUAUUUAAUUCUGUUUUACUGUAAUAGUUUUAUUUAAGACUUUUAUUAUCUGCUCAGUGUUUCAUUGUGAGGGAAGUGGUGUUUAUCAUUCAGGAAUCAUGACCACAGUCAGGAGAUCUAUAUUCAGUUCAUGAUGUUUCCCCACACACUUUAUCUUAGGCUUUAACCCUGCAGAGUCUGAGUGCCUUGAGCUAAAGCCAGUUGGAGGUUGGUGUGAUCAGUAUCACGGACCGAAGGAGGACAGCAGAGGGCUUAUCUUCUUUAAUCUGCUAUCUCGUCAUAUCUCUUGCUUCAUUUAUAAAAUGAAGACUGUGUCAUAAAAGAUCCGUUAUCACUUGGCUUUAGGGUUGUUCAAGAUAUUCUGGUCUCAAUCAUCUUCUGUUGAAACCUUCAUACUUUCUGGGUUUGAUCCAAACCCAAUCAGGACAAAUCAGGACAAACUCUCUCAGGCUCUGGAGAGAGCCUGGGAAAGAUUAUUCUGUGCAAGUCUAGUGGCAAAGUUGUUCUUAGACUGCCUCAGAGCUAUGCUGUAUCUGGUCCUCCAGCCCCAGUGUGCUUGCAGCAUAGCCAGGCUCCCAUACUGACGAUAGGAGAUCCAUCCUUUGCAACUCGCACCUGUCUCCUCUUUUUUUGACUCCGUGGGCCAGGAUGUAGAUUUCACAUCCUACACCACAUUUUGCAACAGUAGUUUCCUCUUGUCUGAUACUGACUCCCGGCAAAAUAGCUUCUGCAUUCAUUUCAGCUGUCCUUGCAGAGCUGCCCACCCAGCAGAGGGGGCUGCCACCAGGUCAGCACACAGGGUGAGCCCAUACCAUGCACCCAAAGUGAGGCCAGCAACUUUGGUGUGAUGCUCUGGAACCCACCUCUCUUACUGCAGUGCCCUCUGCCCUGUGUGUCAGGACAGUGAUCCAGGGGGUGAGAGGUGGUGCCUGAGCUGCUGUGCCCCACAGUGGCUGCAGGGAGACCAAUGUGGCAUCAUUAGCACAAGUAUGAUGGUUGCUAUCUCAUCAGUCUAGCCAUUAGUAAACAACCCGAGUGUUACAUAGUCCUUCCAUAGUCUUUACAGAACCACUCAACUCAACUGCCCAGGAAGUGCUACAACUGCUAGCCAGGAGUGGCCAGAUACUGCCUUUGAGCACAUCUGGGUUUUGUUGUGCAAAGGGCUACUUCCCUCCCACUCACACCCUCAAACUCAGAAAAGGGAGAAGCCAACCAAGGGGGAAGGAGACAGAGCUCUGCCUCAUCUCAUUGGGCUGAUACAAACACUCCCUCUGCCCCCACCUGAUCUCUGUGACCUGCUGAUGCAGAAACAAAUUGUCAUUGGCAACAAACCAUACUGGCCUGAGAGCCACAGAUUAGCUUCUGAGAAAGCCUGACGUAACUUAUUACAGAGUCUAGAGGGAAGACACCCCCCAAACGCCUCCUCCCUCCCCUUGAAUCAAGGAUUUCAGUUUUCACGUAAUAGGUGGUAGCAGUGAACACAAUACACGUGCUUCAACAGGCACAUUUACAUGUGAGCCAGGUCUCAUCUCCAGGCUGCCUCUUUUUUAUUUCCCUUUUGGGAUUGUGCAUACGAAUAUCAGAGAUGCUGAACCAAUAGGAGCUGGAAAGCCUCAGCAUGCUUUUCAGCCCAUAUAUACUUUGGUUGCCACUGAAUAUUGCAUCAGAAAACUAUUUAAUGUUGGAGAAAGAAAGAGUACCCCUUCUCUGAUAUGAAUGAUAUAUUCCCAAGAGUCCAAAUUUGCUACCUUUGCUUAAGCUAAGCAAUACUCUCGUAUGUUAUCAAAGGCUGAAUACUGAUUUUUGCCAAACUGGUUUAAGUCCAACGUUUCCCACUGGCUUCGAGAAAGGCAAUCUGGAUUAACCUAAUUGACUGAGAGUUUCAAAGCUUCACGCUUGCAAAGCUAUUACAUUUAAUCUCAUCAGUAUGAACUGAACACACAUGCAGUGUAGGAACAGUAACAAAUGGGAGAAGACUGCCCUGAAAGCCCAGCAAGACCUGCCCUCAUCAGCCCAGGGCAUAUAAAUCACUUUCUUUUCCAGCUCAUUUAACCUUGGCCAGUGUCUUUAUACCUUGGUUUGCUUUGUUUCCAAAAAUAUGUCCGGUCCUCUCUUGAUGCAUGGCUAAGGAUCUCUUCUAUCACUGACUCUAUCAACUGAGUAGUAUCCCAGCCCCAGGUAAUUGUGUAAUUCUGUCUCAGUUUAAACAUAUUAUUCCCUAUUUGCUUUCAAAUGAGUUAUUUCAGAAACUGCGCUGGUGCAGUGAGGUUCCUUUGGCUUUCUGGUUUCUGCACGCUUCCCAAGUACUCUAACUUUUCACUAAUUUUUGUAUCUCCCUUCUGCUUCCUGCCAUCAGUGGUGGAGCUGCCAUUUGAGUCUGCCUGACAGAUAUGCAAGAGGGAAGGAGAGUUGCUCUUUAAUAUGAAAACCCAAAAGUUCGUUAUGAGUGGUGCCAAUGCAGAGGGGCUGAGGAGGUGCCUCAUGCUAUGGGAGAGGGGUACUUGUGGACUUUAAGUCAUGCCUUUGCUGUGCUCUUCAGUGGCAGCUGAGAGCUCCAAGGUGCUCAGGAGCGCCUGAAGUACACCUUAGGGGAACAGCAGCAGAGUGUGUGAAGGGGCUGAGACCAAAAGGGAUUUUGAGGCAAGCUGCUGGCAUAAGCUCACUGCAAGAACAGCUCAUCUGAGUGAGACAGGCUGGUCCAGGAAUAUUUCAAUGUAAAGGCUUAAAUAGACCAAUUACCAUUAAACCACAUUCUUGAAAAUUAAAUUGGGACACUCUAUAUAGUGACAUUACUUCCAAAAGGAGAUAACUUCUGUCAUGCUGAGUCUCAGAUUUGUGGUGACUGGUACACAGUGCUGCUGUCUCACCCCCUCAUGUGCAUGAGGGGAUAGCAGAGCAUGUGUACGUUCUUCCUGGUGCUUAUUCCUGUAUACCAAGUGUGAGAAGAUGCACCAAGUAGUACUAAUGUGUUUUAAAUGGAGCCCAGUGUACCUUAGGUGAUCAGCGCACAUAUUCCAGCACAGUGGGCUGUACAAAGUAGAUGGCAUCAUGUAGAGUGCAAUUAUGUAGAUUUUCCAUAAUGUAUUGCUGUUCCAGAAGACAUUGUACAAAUCACUGGAGUUUUUUUUCUGCAGAAAUGUCCAUUUUUUGUCAUGACUGCCAGCUUGCCAGACUGUUCUGUCAUCUGCUCAAAGCUUGUUAGGGCUUUGGAGCGCUGUGCAGGAAAAUCUCUUGGUGAGACGGGUGUUGUGAAUUACAGCCUUGACAACUAUGAGAGGGUGCGUGCUGAGGUGUAGCAUUAAUAUUCAUAUGGGAACAGAUGUCUUGGCUAUUAGCCAGGACACAACCUUGUUGUGUUAGAUGUUCCAGAAAAAGCUGUGGUCCCUGCCUCUAAGAAAUCACAGUCUCUAUAUUGCAAAUAAGGAGGAUCUGCUGGUUUUAUUCCUCAGAUAGAAAAGCAGCAUUCUCUGUGUCCAUGUUGUUGACAAUCCAACAGAAAGCAUAGAGAGCAGAAGCUUGACUCAUUGGCAUGGGUGCAAGAGCUGUUCUUUGAACCCACUGCACUCAUGGGAACAGUUUUCUUGGAGAGGUGAUUCAUCUCUGGGGAAGUCCAGGAUGAAGUCUGGACACUGCCUUCUCAAAAGGGACAGCUGCGAUCUCUUACGUGGGCUCCUCCCUGAUUGUCGUAGCACUAAAAUGACUUGCUGCUUCUGGGAAUGAGCUACGUGGUGCAGAUGUUGUGGACAUGCCUCUGUGCUGUCAGUGCUGAGUUACUAAAACUGGGCCCCUUAGAUGGAGGUCUUUCUCCGGUGAAGGCUUGCAGACAGUUUAAUGAGUCUUUCUCAGGAGACAAAAAAAUAUUGCAUGGGAAUUUCCAGAAAGAGCUAAGGUUUUUGUCUUUUGCACAUUUUUCCAGAAAUCAGGUGUACAUUUGAUCCACAUAGUUGAGGAGUGUACUGCAUGGUCCAGCCUUGGUUACACAAGGUGAUAGCACUUUUUGGUGCUAUUUUUUAAUAGAUUAAUCACUUCUCAUAUACAAGGCUGAUACAAAUGACCCAAUUUUGAGGGGGAAAUUACAGUAAUUCACUGAGAUUUUGGAGCAACCACUGGAAAACAUGUCACCAGCCCUGGACAGAGAACUUGAAAAAGAUGAGUCAGGAAGAAAAACUGCAGGUGGGGAGACAGAGGACAGUAUGUGAAGCCUGGGACCAAAAGGUUCUGCAGCAGAUUGUAGCAUGGAAGAGUCAACUUUCCAGUGAUGGACAGGCCCUGCAGGCUAGUUGAACUUUAGACAUCUUCUUUGGCUAAUGUGGUAAAGUUUGAGGGAUGGAAAGAGGGGAGAACAUAAGACAAAGAGUGGAAAAUUUAGAUGGGCGGUGUAGACAGGCAAAUGUCCAGCUAUCGGAAGGACAAAUAAUAAGAAAUCAGAAAGAAUAUAUCUUGAAAGAGCACAGAGAUUUGGGGAAACACAAAGACUUUUGAACGAUGCAACUCAGAGCAGUUUACAGAGCUCUAAGCACACAGAACCCAUCCUUGGCUGCAGAAAUUCUUAAUCUGGAGAUGGCUGGGGGGCUGGAGAACACUCAGGGGAAAAGCUGUAUGUGCUUACCCUGUGUUCAUACUUCUCCCCAGGCAUUUUGCUUUUGCCACUAUUGGAGACAGGAGUUAGAUGGACCUUUGGCCUGGCUCAGUGUGGUGACUGUCAUGUUCUUGUGCCCCUCGUGUUGUGAAAGAGUUGGAGUCCUUGUGGUGAGUCGUUCUUUAGCAGAAGCUGUAGGACAAACUGCACUUAGUACAGCGUGUUGCUGAGUCAGGCACAGGAGGGACCUUCCUGGCAUUCCUCAAUGCUUUGUGCAUUACAUACUGAACAUCUCAUGAAGAGAACACUCCAUAUAUCCCCCAAACACCUGGGCUCUUCACCAAGAUGGCUGUACAGAGGUUCGGCAGGUCGCUGCUAUGCCGCCAUCUCAUGCCCAGGCUUCAGCAGGAUGGCAGCACAGCUCUCCAUCUCACCGCUGCUGUUGCUGUUAGAGCUGAGCAACUGGGCUGCGUGGCUGCCUGGGGACUUCUCCUAGGGCACUGCCCUCACCCCUGGCCCACUGCAACCCUGGAGCCUCCGCGCUUUGGGCUGUCAGCCACAGCGUUCUUGUGAGACUGCUCUUGUCUCUGGGGCAGGGAGGCCUUGGUGGAGCUGUUGUUCCUCUCCCUUGGCUCGCAUCUUGGUGGCUGGCGACAUCUUGCUGAGCCCCUGCUCUAGCCGUUCUGGCUGCCUCGCUCCUCCCUGCUUCCUUGGGCUUGGUCUUCAUGACUCUCCAGAGGCUGUAAUUAUCUCCCAUGAGUAGUGCUGGAGCUAUCCUGUUUUGUCUACCAAGAAGGAUCUCAAUUUUUCCAAGAAUACUGUGGCACUUUUUAAAAAUAAUUGUCUCCUAAGGAGGUAACAGUACUGCUCACCUCCUUUCUGCUUUUCCUCAGAGAAAGGCUCUGUUUCCAUCUAUUAACAAGGAGGAAUAAGGGGAAUCUGCGUCCAGAGAAACUGGGAGGGCAAGGAGGGCAGAGCAGCAUUUGUACACAUAUACAGUAAUUUCUGCUUGGUGUGUGUAUACAUGUGCACGUGAGUGACAUUUAUCAACAGAACAUUUUUUCUAAGAUCAAUACUUUUCUCUGCUUGGGAGAAACAAGCCUUGCCAAUAACUGGAUUCAAUUCAUAAGAAACUAGGUGGAAAUAAUGAUGAGGAAAUGAGAAAAAUAAGCUUUUGAUGAAAUAAUUAAUGACUGGUUGUGACACAAUCUCACAGCAGCAAUCCAAGGCUCAGGGAGAUCAGAGGAGCCCAUCCGCUGCCAGACAAUGCUUACCAUGCAAAGCCAAGUAGCCUCCUGUUUGCAAUUUAAAAUCAUAACCAUAUACAUGGACUGCAGUUGGUGGCGGCUUGUUUGUUUUAAGUUCUCCUAACAAAGUAACAGCACUCCCUUCGUCUCAUCUGUAGGAGGGGAGACCAGUGGGUUCCAGGCAGCUUGUAGCGUGUAAGACAGGUCCAUCUCCAAGCAGCUAAAGCCAGGAGAUGAAUGUUUCAACAUGUGUGAAUUGUUCUAUUGCCACCAAACUGAACAGAGCUCAGCCGCUCACAGAUCUGGUCCAAAAAACUGAAACUAGUGAUUCUCAGCUCUGGAUGCCUGCAGAAGGGUAGGAUUUUGACUGUAAAAGGUGCAGAGGAAAAGCAAAACCCUUUAUCAGCAGGCUUGCAUGUGGUUUAAUGAAGUCCUCACCUCCUUAGCAAUAUCUUUUUAUGGACCCAUAAGAGGAUUAAGUUGAAAAAUACCUGGCCUAAAAUUAAUAGAUCUCAGAAGGCCAAGAGCUGACAUUGCUUACGCGUGUCACAAUGGAGCGGUGGAUGAGCUUGUGGUGGUGGGUUGGCUUGUUUCAGGAGUCAUCUUUAAAGUAAAUCUCCCUGUUGUCCUCCUCCCCCAAUUCUGCUGCACAGUAACGUGGUCUAUGCUGAGCAAACUGGAUUGCUCUGCCUAAAACCAGGUGCUCCAAACAGGCUCUGACUGCCAGUGGGUGGCUUCAGUGCACACAGCCAGGUACAGCUAGUCUGACACCCCCAAAAUAACAAUGAUGUGAAUACGAGGAUUCUCACACCAUGCAUUUCAUGUUAUUCUGCUCUGCACAGCAUUACCUGCCAGGGCUAGCAGGACUUUGCUGCCAUCCUUUGCUUGGCUCCUAGGAGGAGAUGAGCAGUUGGCUGGACACAGAGCUUCCCUGCCUGGGCUGCUCGGCACUGGUCCUGUCCCGAGCAGAUGAGUUUGGCAUGUUCCAAGGCAGAUGACCCUGGUUUACAUUUGCCAUGUCAAAGGCACUGCAUGCUACAGACAGAGCAGACCAAAACCAACAGAGUGCUUCGCAAAUAGUGAUGGAGAGCGAAAAUGCAAAAGAACAACUGCAGCAUCUAAAGGGAAGUUUUCCAAGCAUGGGAGUAAAAGGCAUACUGGAAAGAGAAGAGCCUUCGUGAGUAAAAGUUAAAGAAUGAUUCUAAAAUGGAUGUACUUUACUGAGAAAAGCAACUAAGACUUUAGGAAAUAAGUGGAUCAGAAAUGAACAUUGACUACAGCAGUGUGAUCUAUUGCUCUGACAUCUACUUGCCACAGGAGAAAGGUAAGAAUAAAGGAAUACCCAUAUUUUCCUAAGCGAACAUCUUUCAUGCUUGCGUGCUCAAGAAGAUAGAAGUGGAUGGGGCCAGCAACCUCUGCAAAGUGCCUGGGUUUAUGGAAACCACUGCAUUACUGCAUGGAUGGAUGCAGACUUAAUUCCACUGGCAAAUGCUUUGAAAAAGGCAGCCUCUGUAACACCUCCCAAAGAAGAAAAGACAGAGACAGACUGCGUGUCAUUCCUUCAUUCCUGCCUGCCCAUAUCAGCACUCACUGUGCCUAGAGAAAUGCACAGGAAUCACACAGUUCUAGGCAAAAUGCAUUUAUGUGAGCAUUUGUUCUUCUGUGCAGAACAAAGUACGUCUGCCCUGCAGCUAUCCUGAGGGGUAAGAAUGGCUCAGAGUAAGGAUUCUAUACUCCACUGUUAAUAUUUGUCAAACGUUGUAAGAUUCUCAAGUUAAAGUGAUGUAUGGACCACACCCACAAAUGCAUUAUGUUGAGUCGCACAUAGCUAUAGAUGUAUGUAGACAGAAAAAAAAUGCAGAUUGACCUUACUGAACUUUGUACAGUUCUGGACAAUGUUAAACUUUGUUAAACUUCAAAAUCACGUUUUAAUUCUUCAGGUCAGUGACCCAGCAGCAAGGCACACUGCGCCAGCACCAGAGAGUCACCAGAGCAGCUGUGAACUACCCCAGAAAGAAAGCGGUGGUGCAAGGUACUGUUGGUAAGGGAGAUGGCACUCCAUGUAAGGAAGUAUGCAUGUAUGAAACUUGGCCCAAAUAUGCUCCUUUACCUGAACACAUGGGAACUACAUCCUUCCUGUCCUCU